rnacentral:rRNA from 1 species
UUAAGUGACGAUAGCCUAGGAGAUACACCUGUACCCAUGCCGAACACAGAAGUUAAGCCCUAGAACGCCGGAAGUAGUUGGGGGUU